rfam:Myotis davidii contig32634, whole genome shotgun sequence.
GGCAGUUCUUGGGUGACACAUCCUGGAAUUGGGCUCCCUCUUCUCUGGUUCCGGGUGUGUCACCCAAGAACUACA